rnacentral:misc_RNA from 1 species
ACUCCUAAAUAACUAACGAAUAACUUAAAUCGGUAAAUCAUAAAGCUUAUAGACAUUGCUACAAUGGCUGGAAGAUUCAGAGAGCUAUUGAAGAAAUACGGAAAGGUAGCAUUGGGUGUUCACUUCUCUGUUUCAGCAGCUUCAAUUACAGGUCUUUAUGUUGCUGUUAAGAACAAUGUAGACGUUGAAGCCCUGUUCGAAAAAAUCGGAAUGCCAG